GCUAGAGUCGGAGUUGUAACGCUCCACUGACUGAUAGAGCGACCGGCCGACCAUGGCGCCCGGAGUGGCCCGCGGGCCGACGCCGUACUGGAGGUUGCGCCUCGGUGGCGCCGCGCUGCUCCUGCUGCUCAUCCCGGUGGCCGCCGCGCAGGAGCCUCCCGGAGCGGCGGGAUUCCUGAACACUCGUUCUACGUGUCUUGAAGAAGGCUUGUUAUCAGCAGGGCUCAGGAAGAGAACCUUCAUUUGCUUGUUCUCAGAACACAAACAAAACCUGUGAAGAGUGCCUGAAGAACGUCUCCUGUCUUUGGUGCAACACUAACAAGGCUUGUCUGGACUACCCAGUUACAAGCGUCUUGCCACCUGCUUCCCUUUGUAAAUUGAGCUCUGCACGCUGGGG
rnacentral:sRNA from 1 species